rnacentral:rRNA from 1 species
CUGCGAAUGGCUCAUUAUAUAAGUUAUCGUUUAUUUGAUAGUACCUUACUACUUGGAUAACCGUGGUAAUUCUAGAGCUAAUACAUGCUAAAAAUCCCGACUUCGGAAGGGAUGUAUUUAUUAAAUUAAAAACCAAUGCCCCUCGGGGCUCUCUGGUGAUUCAUGAUAACUUCUCGAAUCGCACGGCCUUGCGCCGGCGAUGGUUCAUUCAAAUUUCUUCCCUAUCAACUUUCGAUGUUUGGGUAGUGGCCAAACAUGGUUGCAACGGGUAACGGAGGGUUAGGGCUCGACCCCGGAGAAGGAGCCUGAAAAACGGCUACUACAUCCAAGGAAGGCAGCAGGCGCGCAAAUUACCCAAUCCCGAUUCGGGGAGGUAGUGACAAUAAAUACUGAUACAGGGCUCUUUCGGGUCUUGUAAUUGGAAUGAGUACAAUUUAAAUCCCUUAACGAGGAACAAUUGGAGGGCAAGUCUGGUGCCAGCAGCCGCGGUAAUUCCAGCUCCAAUAGCGUAUAUUAAAGUUGUUGUGGUUAAAAAGCUCGUAGUUGAACCUUGGGCCUGGCUGGCCGGUCCGCCUCACCGCGUGUCACUGGUCCGGCCGGGUCUUUCCCUCUGUGGAACCACAUGCCCUUCACUGGGCGUGGCGGGGAAACAGGACUUUUACUUUGAAAAAAUUAGAGUGCUCCAGGCAGGCCUAUGCUCGAAUACAUUAGCAUGGAAUAAUAAAAUAGGACGUGCGGUUCUAUUUUGUUGGUUUCUAGGACCGCCGUAAUGAUUAAUAGGGACAGUCGGGGGCAUCAGUAUUCAAUUGUCAGAGGUGAAAUUCUUGGAUUUAUUGAAGACUAACUACUGCGAAAGCAUUUGCCAAGGAUGUUUUCAUUAAUCAGGAACGAAAGUUAGGGGAUUGAAGACGAUCAGAUACCGUCGUAGUUUUAACCAUAAACUAUGCCGACUAGGGAUCGGACGAUGUUAUUUAGUUGACUCGUUUGGCACCUUACGAGAAAUCAAAGUGC